UACGAAGGGGGCUAGCGUUGCUCGGAAUUACUGGGCGUAAAGCGCACGUAGGCGGUCUUUUAAGUCGGGGGUGAAAUCCUGGAGCUCAACCCCAGAACUGCCUUCGAUACUGGAAGACUCGAGUCCGGGAGAGGUGAGUGGAACUGCGAGUGUAGAGGUGAAAUUCGUAGAUAUUCGCAAGAACACCAGUGGCGAAGGCGGCUCACUGGCCCGGUACUGACGCUGAGGUGCGAAAGCGUGGGGAGCAAACAGGG
rnacentral:rRNA from 1 species